rnacentral:rRNA from 1 species
GACGAACGCUGGCGGCGUGCUUAACACAUGCAAGUCGAACGGAAAGGCCCUUCGGGGUACUCGAGUGGCGAACGGGUGAGUAACACGUGGGUGAUCUGCCCUGCACUUUGGGAUAAGCCUGGGAAACUGGGUCUAAUACCGAAUAGGACCACGCGCUUCAUGGUGUGUGGUGGAAAGCUUUUGCGGUGUGGGAUGGGCCCGCGGCCUAUCAGCUUGUUGGUGGGGUAAUGGCCUACCAAGGCGACGACGGGUAGCCGGCCUGAGAGGGUGACCGGCCACACUGGGACUGAGAUACGGCCCAGACUCCUACGGGAGGCAGCAGUGGGGAAUAUUGCACAAUGGGCGCAAGCCUGAUGCAGCGACGCCGCGUGAGGGAUGACGGCCUUCGGGUUGUAAACCUCUUUUAAUAGGGACGAAGCGCAAGUGACGGUACCUAUAGAAGAAGCACCGGCCAACUACGU